GAAUGUACAAAUGUAGAAAUGUAGAUUAGAACAAAUAAUGUAGAGUCAGUCACAGUAUAUAGCUAGUAACGUAUCUUGUUAGUGUGUGGCUAAGGGUCUGUGAUGUAACAUUCCUAAGUUUUGGUUAGUCCUUUCAAAGCUUGAAUAGAGUGUUUAAGGGUUAAUUAGAAUCUAGAUUUCAAAACUUGUUCUUGCUUAAGUGCAAACUUCACUUAAACACUUAGAAGUAUCACAUUAAGGGCUAAAUUUGAUCCAACCAAGUCAAACCCAAUACUAAGUAGGAAAAACACUCACACUAGGUUUGAUUUAUGGCAAACAUACCAAAAACCCCAAAAGACCACAUUUG
rnacentral:lncRNA from 1 species